rnacentral:tRNA from 1 species
GCCGGCGUGGCGGAAUUGGCAGACGCGCGGGACUCAAAACCCGUUCCUUUGAGUGUCGGUUCGAUCCCGACCGCCGGUA